rnacentral:lncRNA from 1 species
ACAAACUAAGGGAGCCUGGCUAUUAUGUUAUUAUGCGUACGAUUUCUUUCGUACUCAUAAAUUAUUUUCGACGAUGAAACUUCUGAAUCAACAAGCCAUAUUGUUAAAUAUUAUUUAGAGUAUUUAAACAUUCUAGAAUUCGAAUUUCAUAAUAUUUUGAUAUCAUAUACCUUAUAAUUAAAGGGCCUCAAAAUUGACAUUUUAACAACCGGUAUGGAGCAUUUUCGAGUUAACGGUAUAGAUAAACA